GUCAAAAAAAUUCCAGUCAUUUAUUGAGAGCUGCUUGGUAAAGAAUCACAGCCAGCGACCAGCAACAGAACAAUUGAUGAAGCAUCCAUUUAUACGAGACCAACCUAAUGAGCGACAGGUCCGCAUUCAACUCAAGGACCAUAUUGAUAGAACAAAGAAGAAGCGAGGAGAAAAAGAUGAGACAGAGUAUGAGUACAGUGGAAGUGAGGAAGAAGAGGAGGAGAAUGACUCAGGAGAGCCCAGCUCCAUCCUGAAUCUGCCAGGGGAGUCGACGCUGCGGAGGGACUUUCUGAGGCUGCAGCUGGCCAACAAGGAGCGUUCUGAGGCCCUACGGAGGCAGCAGCUGGAGCAGCAGCAGCGGGAGAAUGAGGAGCACAAGCGGCAGCUGCUGGCCGAGCGUCAGAAGCGCAUCGAGGAGCAGAAAGAGCAGAGGCGGCGGCUGGAGGAG
rnacentral:circRNA from 1 species